rnacentral:rRNA from 1 species
UGGUAGCAAUACCGGGAAAAGUCUAGUGGCGAACGGGUGCGUAACACGUGGGCAAUCUGCCAUGAAGUGGGGGAUAGCUCGGCGAAAGCCGAAUUAAUACCGCAUGUGAUCAGUGAAGACAUCUUCACGACAUUAAGGCCGGGGCAACCUGGCGCUUCUUGAUGAGCCCGCGGCCUAUCAGCUAGUUGGUGAGGUAACGGCUCACCAAGGCGGUGACGGGUAGCUGGUCUGAGAGGACGACCAGCCACACUGGAACUGAGACACGGUCCAGACACCUACGGGUGGCAGCAGUCGAGAAUUUUUCUCAAUGGGGGAAACCCUGAAGGAGCGACGCCGCGUGGAGGAUGAAGGCUUUCGGGUUGUAAACUCCUGUCAUUUGGGAACAAUGUCCCGCUAUUAACUGUAGCGGGAUUGAUAGUACCAGAAGAGGAAGAGACGGCUAACUCUGUGCCAGCAGCCGCGGUAAUACAGAGGUCUCAAGCGUUGUUCGGAUUCAUUGGGCGUAAAGGGUGCGUAGGUGGCGCGCUAAGUCAGGUGUGAAAUUUCGGAGCUUAACUCCGAAACUGCAUUUGAUACUGGCGUGCUUGAGGACUGGAGAGGAGACUGGAAUUCACGGUGUAGCA